rnacentral:rRNA from 1 species
GGGUCUACCCGUUGGUCAGGCUUAAUUGUCUGCACUGGUAGGAUGGAUCUCUACCUUCUGAGGAACUUUCAUGCCAUUUAUUUGGUGUGAUGGGAAAUCAGGACUGUUACUUUGAAAAAAUUAGAGUGUUUAAAGCAGGCUCACGCUUGAAUACAUUAGCAUGGAAUAAUGAAAUAGGACGGACUGAUUCUAUUUCGUUGGUUUCUAGGAUCACCGUA